AUUGAACGCUGGCGGCAGGCUUAACACAUGCAAGUCGAACGAGUGGCGGACGGGUGAGUAAUGCUUGGGAAUCUGGCUUAUGGAGGGGGAUAACGACUGGAAACUGUCGCUAAUACCGCGUACCAUAGGCUGAGCCCAAGUGGGAUUAGGGAGUUGGUGGGGCAAUGGCAUACAAAGCCGACGAUCUCUAGCUGGUCUGAGAGGAUGACCAGGCACACCGGGACUGCGACACGGCCCGAACUCCUACGGGAGGCAGCAGUGGGGAAUAUUGCGCAAGGGGGGAAACCUGACGGAGCCAUGCCGCGUGAAUGAAGAAGGCCUUCGGGUUGUAAAGGUCUUUCGGUGACGAGGCGUUAAUCAAAGAAGAAGCACCGGCUAACUCCGUGCCAGCAGCCGCGGUAAUAC
rnacentral:rRNA from 1 species